UGAUAUCAGUCUUCCUGGAAGUGCCA
rnacentral:piRNA from 1 species